rnacentral:rRNA from 1 species
CUACGGGUGGCACCAGUGAGGAAUAUUGCACAAUGGGGUGAACCCUGAUGCAGCAACGCCGCGUGGAGGAUGACGCAUUUCGGUGUGUAAACUCCUUUUAUAUGUCAAGAAAAUGACGGUAGCAUAUGAAUAAGCACCGGCUAACUCCGUGCCAGCAGCCGCGGUAAUACGGAGGGUGCAAGCGUUACUCGGAAUCACUGGGCGUAAAGGGCGCGUAGGCGGGUUGGAAAGUCAGGUGUGAAAUCCUACAGCUUAACUGUAGAACUGCACUUGAAACUUCUAAUCUAGAGUAUGGGAGGGUGAGAUGGAAUUAGUGGUGUAGGGGUAAAAUCCGUAGAUAUCACUAGGAAUACCUAAAGCGAAGGCGAUCUCCUGGAACAUUACUGACGCUAAGGCGUGAAAGCGUGGGGAGCAAACAGGAUUAGAUACCCCUGUAGUC